rnacentral:rRNA from 1 species
CCUACGGGAGGCAGCAGUGGGGAAUUUUGGACAAUGGGCGCAAGCCUGAUCCAGCAAUGCCGCGUGAGUGAAGAAGGCCUUCGGGUUGUAAAGCUCUUUUGUCAGGGAAGAAACGGUGGGAGCUAAUAUCUCCUGCUAAUGACGGUACCUGAAGAAUAAGCACCGGCUAACUACGUGCCAGCAGCCGCGGUAAUACGUAGGGUGCAAGCGUUAAUCGGAAUUACUGGGCGUAAAGCGUGCGCAGGCGGUUUUGUAAGACUGUCGUGAAAUCCCCGGGCUCAACCUGGGAAUGGCGAUGGUGACUGCAAGGCUAGAGUUUGGCAGAGGGGGGUAGAAUUCCACGUGUAGCAGUGAAAUGCGUAGAUAUGUGGAGGAACACCGAUGGCGAAGGCAGCCCCCUGGGUCAAAACUGACGCUCAUGCACGAAAGCGUGGGGAGCAAACAGGAUUAGAUACCCUGGUAGUCCACGCCCUAAACGAUGUCUACUAGUUGUCGGGUCUUAAUUGACUUGGUAACGCAGCUAACGCGUGAAGUAGACCGCCUGGGGAUACGGUCGCAGNUUAAAACUCAAAGGAAUUGAAGGCNGAGAGAGCGACGACGACGACGAGGGAGGAGG